rnacentral:rRNA from 1 species
GACGAACGCUGGCGGCGUGCCUAACACAUGCAAGUCAACGAGAAAAGGGUAGCAAUAUCCUGAGUAAAGUGGCGCACGGGUGAGUAACACGUAGGUAAUCUGCCAUUAGGACGGGGACAACCACGCGAAAGCGUGGCUAAUACCCGAUGAAUCAGCGGCGCCGCAUGGCGUUGUUGUUAAAUACCGCAAGGUGCCUGGUGAUGAACCUGCGUCCCAUUAGGUAGUUGGUGAGGUAACGGCUCACCAAGCCGACGAUGGGUAGCUGGUCUGAGAGGAUGAUCAGCCACACUGGAACUGAGACACGGUCCAGACUCCUACGGGAGGCAGCAGUGAGGAAUAUUGCGCAAUGGCCGAAAGGCUGACGCAGCGACGCCGCGUG